ensembl:snRNA U6 U6 spliceosomal RNA
AUGCUCACUUCGUCAGCACAUAUACUAAAAUUGGAAAAAUACAGAGAUUAGCCUGGCCCCUGUGCAAGGAUGACAUGCAAAUUUGUGAAGUAUUUUAUAUUUGU